rnacentral:rRNA from 1 species
UACAGAGGUGCCAAGCGUUAGGCGGAAUCACUGGGCUUAAAGCGCGCGUAGGCGGAUGUUUAAGUGUCUUGUGAAAUCCCACGGCUCAACCGUGGAACUGCUGGGCAUACUGGACAUCUCGAGGCACUCAGGGGCGAGCGGAACAAGUGGUGGAGCGGUGAAAUGCGUAGAUAUCACUUGGAACGCCAAUGGUGAAGACAGCUCGCUGGGGUGUCCUGACGCUGAGGCGGCGAAAGCCAGGGGAGCGAACGGG